GAUGAACGCUGGCGGCGUGCCUAAUACAUGCAAGUCGAGCGAACGGACGAGAAGCUUGCGUCGCUGAUGUUAGCGGCGGACGGGAGAGUAACACGUGUAUAACCUACCUAUAAUACGGGGAUAACUUCGGGAAACCGGAUCUAAUACCGUAUGAUAUUUUGAAGCGCAGUGUGCAAAGGUGAAAUACGGUGGUGCGGGCACGUAUAGAGGGAUCCCCGCUGCAUUAGCUAGUUGUUAAGGUAACGGCUUACCAAGGCAACGAUGCAUAGACGAAGUGAGAGGGUGAUAGGCCACCCUGGAACGGAGCCACGGUCCAGACUACUACGGGACGCACCAGUAGGGAACCGUAGGCAAAGGGCGAAAGUAUGACGGAGCAAGGCGGCGUCAGUGAUGACGGUCUUCGGAUCGUAAAACCCUGUUAUUAGGGAAGAACAUCUGUGUCAGUAAAUGUGACCAUAUUGACGGUACCUAAUAAGAAAGCACCGGCUAACUACGUG
rnacentral:rRNA from 1 species